ensembl:snRNA U2 U2 spliceosomal RNA
AUCGCUUCUCGGCCUUUUGGCUAAGAUCAAGUGUAGUAUCUCUUCCAGGAGCUUUGCCGGGAGAGCGUGUGAAAGCAUC